rnacentral:rRNA from 1 species
GUUGUAUGGUUAAGUGACGAAGCGUAUACGGUGGAUGCCUUGGCAGUUAGAGGCGAUGAAGGACGUGUAAGUCUGCGAAAAGCUGUGGUGAGCCGACAAAAUGCAUUUGAGCCACAGAUGUCCGAAUGGGGAAACCCACCUGUUUACAGGUAUCGUUGCGUGAAUACAUAGCGUAACGAGGCGAACGAGGGGAACUGAAACAUCUAAGUACCCUUAGGAAAAGAAAUCAAACGAGAUUCCCCUAGUAGCGGCGAGCGAACGGGGAACAGCCCUUAAGCUGUUUAGUGUGUAGUGGAAUCCUUUGGGAAGAGGAGCGAUACAGGGUGAUAGCCCCGUACACAAAGCGUGCUUUACAGUGAAAUCGAGUAGGUCGGGACACGUGUUAUCUUGACUGAAUAUGGGGGGACCAUCCUCCAAGGCUAAAUACUCCUAACUGACCGAUAGUGAACCAGUACCGUGAGGGAAAGGCGAAAAGAACCCCUGUGAGGGGAGUGAAAUAGAACCUGAAACCGUAUACGUACAAGCAGUGGGAGCCCUUCGGGGUGACUGCGUACCUUUUGUAUAAUGGGUCAGCGACUUAUAUUUAGUAGCAAGGUUAAGCGAAUAGCGGAGCCGUAGCGAAAGCGAGUGUUAACUGCGCGUUGAGUUGCUAGGUAUAGACCCGAAACCCGGUGAUCUAGCCAUGAGCAGGUUGAAGGUUGAGUAACAUCAACUGGAGGACCGAACCCACUGACGUUGAAAAGUCAGGGGAUGACUUGUGGCUGGGGGUGAAAGGCCAAUCAAACCGGGAGAUAGCUGGUUCUCCCCGAAAUCUAUUUAGGUAGAGCCUCGGACGAAUUCCAUUGGGGGUAGAGCACUGUUAAGGCUAGGGGGUCAUCCCGACUUACCAACCCUUUGCAAACUCCGAAUACCAAUGAGAACUAUCCGGGAGACACACGGCGGGUGCUAACGUCCGUCGUGGAGAGGGAAACAACCCAGACCGCCAGCUAAGGUCCCAAAAUAUUGCUAAGUGGGAAACGAUGUGGGAAGGCACAGACAGCUAGGAGGUUGGCUUAGAAGCAGCCACCCUUUAAAGAAAGCGUAAUAGCUCACUAGUCGAGUCGGCCUGCGCGGAAGAUGUAACGGGGCUAAGCAAUAUACCGAAGCUGCGGCAGCAUGUUUACAUGCUGGGUAGGGGAGCGUUGUGUAAGUGGAUGAAGGUGAGUUGUAAAGCUUGCUGGACAUAUCACAAGUGCGAAUGCUGACAUGAGUAACGAUAAUGGGAGUGAAAAACUCCCACGCCGGAAGACCAAGGUUUCCUGUCCCAUGCUAAUCAGGGCAGGGUAAGUCGGCCCCUAAGGCGAGGCAGAAAUGCGUAGUCGAUGGGAAACGGAUUAAUAUUUCCGUACUUAUAUAAUCAGUGAUGGAGGGACGGAGAAGGCUAGGCAAGCUUGGCGUUGGUUGUCCAAGUGAAAGCGAGUAGGCCGAGAAUUUAGGUAAAUCCGGAUUCUUAAAGCUGAGACGCGAGACGAGCUCCCAAGGGAGUGAAGUUGUUGAUGCCCUGCUUCCAGGAAAAGCUUCUAAACUUAUGAUUAUAUGAACCGUACCCCAAACCGACACAGGUGGUCAGGUAGAGAAUACUAAGGCGCUUGAGAGAACUCGGGUGAAGGAACUCGGCAAAAUUGUACCGUAACUUCGGGAGAAGGUACGCCUCUGUUUGUGAACACUUCGCGUGGUAAGCAAAUGGAGGCCGCAGUGACCAGGUGGCUGGGACUGUUUAUUAAAAACACAGCACUCUGCAAACUCGUAAGAGGACGUAUAGGGUGUGACACCUGCCCGGUGCCGGAAGGUUAAUUGAUGGGGUUAGUCCUCGGACGAAGCUCUUGAUCGAAGCCCCGGUAAACGGCGGCCGUAACUAUAACGGUCCUAAGGUAGCGAAAUUCCUUGUCGGGUAAGUUCCGACCUGCACGAAUGGUGUAACCAUGGCCACGCUGUCUCCACCCGAGACUCAGUGAAAUUGAAAUCGCAGUGAAGAUGCUGUGUACCCGCACCUAGACGGAAAGACCCCGUGAACCUUUACUACAGCUUGGCACUGAACAUUGAACCUACAUGUGUAGGAUAGGUGGGAGGCUUUGAAGCACAGUCGCUAGAUUGUGUGGAGCCGUCCUUGAAAUACCACCCUUGUAUGUUUGAUGUUCUAACAUUGGUCCCUAAUCGGGAUUGUGGACAGUGUCUGGUGGGUAGUUUGACUGGGGCGGUCUCCUCCCAAAUAGUAACGGAGGAGCACGAAGGUUAGCUAAUCACGGUCGGACAUCGUGAGGUUAGUGCAAUGGCAUAAGCUAGCUUAACUGCGAGACAGACACGUCGAGCAGGUACGAAAGUAGGUCAUAGUGAUCCGGUGGUUCUGUAUGGAAGGGCCAUCGCUCAACGGAUAAAAGGUACUCCGGGGAUAACAGGCUGAUACCGCCCAAGAGUUCAUAUCGACGGCGGUUUGGCACCUCGAUGUCGGCUCAUCACAUCCUGGGGCUGAAGUCGGUCCCAAGGGUAUGGCUGUUCGCCAUUUAAAGUGGUACGCGAGCUGGGUUUAGAACGUCGUGAGACAGUUCGGUCCCUAUCUGGUGUGGGCGUUGGAUGAUUGAUGGGAGCUGCUCCUAGUACGAGAGGACCGGAGUGGACGAACCGCUGGUGUUCGGGUUGUCAUGCCAAUGGCAUUGCCCGGUAGCUAUGUUCGGAACGGAUAACCGCUGAAAGCAUCUAAGCGGGAAGCCGGCCCAAAGAUGAGUCAUCCCUGACCUUUAAGGUCUGGAAGGGUUGUUAUAGACGAUGACGUUGAUAGGCAGGGUGUGGAAGCGUUGUAAGGCGUUAAGCUAACCUGUACUAAUUGCCCGAGAGGCUUAACCAUACAACGCCUAA